GAUGAACGCUGGCGGCGUGCUUAACACAUGCAAGUCGAACGAAGCACUUUGAAAAGUUACUUUUUAGAGUGACUGAGUGGCGGACGGGUGAGUAACGCGUGGGUAACCUGCCUUACACAGGGGGAUAACAGUUAGAAAUGACUGCUAAUACCGCAUAACACAGUUGAACCGCAUGAUUUAACUGUCAAAGCUUUAUGUGCUGGAAGAUGGCCUCGCGUCUGAUUAGCUAGUUGGUGGGGUAACGGCCUACCAAGGCGACGAUCAGUAGCCGGUCUGAGAGGAUGAACGGCCACAUUGGGACUGAGAUACGGCCCAGACUCCUACGGGAGGCAGCAGUGGGGAAUAUUGGGCAAUGGACGCAAGUCUGACCCAGCAACGCCGCGUGAAGGAAGAAGGCUUUCGGGUUGUAAACUUCUUUUAAGUGGGAAGAGCAGAAGACGGUACCACUUGAAUAAGCCACGGCUAACUACGUG
rnacentral:rRNA from 1 species